GACGUAGGAGGCGAGCGUUGUCCGGAGUUACUGGGCGUAAAGCGCGCGCAGGCGGCCCUGUGCGCUGCCGGUGAAAGCUCCCGGCUUACCUGGGAGAGGUUCGGCAGGACGGCAGGGCUGGAGGGUGGGAGAGGUCGGUGGAAUUCCCGGUGUAGUGGUGAAAUGCGUAGAUAUCGGGAGGAACACCAGUGGCGAAGGCGACUACCUGGCCUGUUCUUGACGCUGAGGCGCGAAAGCUAGGGGAGCAAACGGG
rnacentral:rRNA from 1 species